AUGCUACUUUUAUCUAUUACUAGUUACUACUACGCUCCGAAAUUGCGCGCACACUGUCAUAAUAAUUCUCUUAUUUUUUGCUUUCUUCUUCACACUUCACAAAACCAAACUCACCUUAUCGUUCUUUAUUCAGAUUUCAAUCCAAAACAAUCAUGGCCCAAGGUAUAUUUACUUUCAUCUCUACCUCUAUUGUUGAAUUUCAAAUCUGGUUUUAUGCCUCAACUCAUGUUUGAAGUUUUAUGUCGAUUGGCUAUUUGGGGUAUUUUUGUUUUGCUUUUGAUUUACAGGUGGAGAUAA